rnacentral:rRNA from 1 species
CAUGUGGCUUAAUCAGACGCAACGCGAAGAACCUUACCACGGCUUGACAUAUGCCGGAAACAUCCAGAGAUGGGUGCCCCCUUGUGGUCGGUAUACAGGUGGUGCAUGGUUGUCGUCAGCUCGUGUCGUGAGAUGUUGGGUUAAGUCCCGCAACGAGCGCAACCCUUGUUCUGUGUUGCCAGCAUGCCUUUCGGGGUGAUGGGGACUCACAGGAGACUGCCGGGGUCAACUCGGAGGAAGGUGGGGACGACGUCAAAUCAUCAUGCCCCUUAUGUCUUGGGCUGCACACGUGCUACAAUGGUCGGUACAAAGGGCUGCGAUGCCGUGAGGCGGAGCGAAUCCCAAAAAGCCGGCCUCAGUUCGGAUUGGGGUCUGCAACUCGACCCCAUGAAGUUGGAGUUGCUAGUAAUCGCAGAUCAGCAUGCUGCGGUGAAUACGUUCCCGGGCCUUGUACACACCGCCCGUCACGUCACGAAAGUCGGUAACACCCG